rnacentral:rRNA from 1 species
CAGAGUUCUUGCCCUUACGGGUAGAUCUCCCACCCUUGAAUACAUACCUUUGUUGCUUUGGCGGGCCGCGCUUGCGCUACUGGCUUCGGCUAGUACGUGCCCGCCAGAGGACCACAACUCUUGUUUUUAGUGAUGUCUGAGUACUAUAUAAUAGUUAAAACUUUCAACAACGGAUCUCUUGGUUCUGGCAUCGAUGAAGAACGCAGCGAAAUGCGAUAAGUAAUGUGAAUUGCAGAAUUCAGUGAAUCAUCGAAUCUUUGAACGCACAUUGCGCCCUUUGGUAUUCCGAAGGGCAUGCCUGUUCGAGCGUCAUUAUACCACUCAAGCUUAGCUUGGUAUUGGGGCCCGCUAUCGGCGGCCCCUAAAAUCAGUGGCGGCGCCUGUAGGCUCUACACGUAGUAAUACUUCUCGCUAUAGGGUCCGGUCGGUUGCUUGCCAACAACCCCAAUUUUUAUCAGGUUGACCUCGGAUCAGGUAGGGAUACCC